rnacentral:lncRNA from 1 species
UUUUAUAGCAUUUUCAUCCCAAACCCCCAGCCCAUCCCCCACCCCUCAACCUGUAUCAUUGGGAAACGUGGUUUGUUUCUUUAAAGCUCUUUCAAGGAUGCUAGGUAUGGAGUUUGCCCAGUGUAGGUGUAGGGGGUAGGGGGCCAGGGAAUAAACACAUUUUUUUUAAUUCCAAGUUUGGGAUUUUUAACAACACUUGGUGCCAUGUAGAAGUACUAGUAGUAAGGUAAUAAUAACAGCAGCAAUGAGAGCUAGCACUUAUUUUUUUUCUUUUAUUUAUUUAUUUAUUCUUUUAGAGCCACACCUACACCAUCUGGAAGAUCCCAGGCCCUAAAAGAAAAAAAAAAACAAACUCCAAUAAAUGUCUGUUAUCUCUAGCCAAAGGACCAGGCACAGGGCACCCUAGCAAAGCAAAUCUUUUCCACAAUAACCCCUCUACCGAAGCCAAUCACCACCAAAGAAACUAUCCCCAGCCGCAUCCAGGCAAGCAAACCUGAGUGGGAAGCCUAGAUUUCCACCUUACCAGGCUGUAAUGAGGUGCCCCAACACCCCUCCACACACACACAGCCCAGCUCCCUGGGUCCCCACUGUUGGUGGAGACUGGGGAAUCUCGACCUCCAGGUCAACAGCAUCUAACAAAGCACAGCACCCCCUCAAGCUGGGGUGGUGUCAGAGGUGGCUCGGAGGAGAGUCAGAAUUGGUUGGUGUCAAAAGGAGAAAAAAAAUCUCUCAGAUGGAAACCCCAAGAUAACAGAGAUGUUAAAACUAUCUGGCAGAUUUUAAAGCAGUCAUUCUAAAGAUGCUUCAACAAUCAAAUAAGCUUGAGGAGUUCCCGUCGUGGCGCAGUGGUUAACGAAUCCGACUAGGAACCAUGAGGUUGCGGGUUCGGUCCCUGCCCUUGCUCAGUGGGUUAACAAUCCGGCGUUGCCGUGAGCUGUGGUGUAGGUUGCAGACGCGGCUCGGAUCCCACGUUGCUGUGGCUCUGGCGUAGGCCUGUGGCUACAGCUCCGAUUCAACCCCUAGCCUGGGAACCUCCAUAUGCCGCGGGAGCGGCCCAAGAAAUAGCAACAACAACAACAAAAGACAAAAGACAAAAAAAAAUAAUAAUAAGCUUGAAACAAAUGAGAAAAAAAAAAAAGUCAAGAAGAGGGUCUACCAGAAACCAGCACUGCUGACACCUUGAUCUCAGACUUCCAGCCUCCAGAACUGUGACGAAGACAGCUUUCCAUUGCGUAAGCCAGCCGACCUGUGGUGUUUUAUCACAGCAGCGCCAGCUUACUAAACACCAGGCCCCUGGCUGAGCUCUGAGAAUCAGGGAAUUCCAGCCAGAGGGAACAGCAUGUGCAAAGGCCUGGAAAUGGGAGGGAGCCCAGGGCUGUCGGGAUCCUCAACAAUUUCAGGACCUGCCUUAGCAACAUCUCCUGAAGACGUAUGGUCUGCUAAACCCACUGGUCCAUUGCUAACACUUCUAAGGAAACAGCCGUUUUUUGCUUUCCGUUUUCUUUUUCUUUACUUGGGCCACUUCCCAAAGCCACAUUCAUGGAGUCCACACCAUAAAAAAUAUUUCUGGCCCUUGAGGCUGGGGGUGGGAAAGGAAGGAAGGGGUGGAGAGGGAAAUAAAUGAAGUGGGCAUUAACCAAACAGCUCCCCAUUGCCGUUUGCCAAAUUCUGUUAGGUGGUGCGAUAUCUCUAACUCCAGAGCUUUAAGAAGGGACUUUUCCUAUUCUUAGAAUUUUGUGAUCUAUUUCCAUCCAUGCAUUCUAUUUUAUUUUAUCUAUUUCUUCUUUUUUAUAAGAAAAUAACUUUUCAAAUAUGUCAUUAAAAUGGUAAGCUUGCAACCUCGAGUGAAAUCUAGUUUAGAAUAGAUGGCUGUUAGUGAUAAUAUUCAUAUCAUGAAGCCACACAAUUGCAACCUAGCAAAGACAUCAGUUCAAGGUAUUAAGAUAUCCUGUGUCUGCAGGCACCCGCAUGUUCACUGCAGCACUAUUCACAAUAGCCAAGACAUGGAAACAACCCAAACGUCCGUUGACAGAUGACUGGAUUAGGAAGAUGUGGUAUAUAUAUACACAAUGGAAUACUACUCAGCCAUAAACAAGAACAAAAUAAUGCCAUUUGCAGCAACAUGGAUGGAACCAGAGACUCUCAUACUGAGUGAAGUAAGUCAGAAAGAGAAAGACAAAUACCAUAUGAUACCACUUAUAUCUGGAAUCUAAUACACGGCACAAAUGAACCUUUCCACAGAAAAGAAAAUCAUGGACUUGGAGAACAGACUUGUGGUUACCAAGGGGGGAGGGGGAGUGGAUGGAUUGGGAACUUGAGGUUAAUAGAUGCAGACUAUUGCCUUUGGAAUGGAUUAGCAAUGAGAUUCUGCUGUGUAGCACUG